AACGUAGGAGCCUAGCGUUAUCCGAAUUUACUGGGCGUAAAGCGCGUGCAGGCGGCUUCGUAAGUGGAUUGUGAAAUCUCCCGGCUCAACCGAGGAACUGCAUCCGAUACUGGCGGGCUUGAAUCCGGGAGAGGGAUGUGGAAUUCCAGGUGUAGCGGUGAAAUGCGUAGAUAUCUGGAGGAACACCGGUGGCGAAGGCGGCAUCCUGGACCGGUAUUGACGCUGAGGCGCGAAAAGCUAGGGGAGCAAACGGGG
rnacentral:rRNA from 1 species